AGUGAACGCUGGCGGCAGGCCUAACACAUGCAAGUCGAGCGCGAAAGUACUUCGGUAUGAGUAGAGCGGCGCACGGGUGAGUAACGCGUAGGAAUAUACCCUUUAGUACGGAAUAACCUCGGGAAACUGGGAUUAAUACCGUAUACGCCCUCGGGGAAGGAGUUAUCGCUAAAGGAUUAGCCUGCGUUGGAUUAGCUAGUUGGUGAGGUAAUGGCUCACCAAGGCUCCGAUCCAUAGCUGGUCUGAGAGGACGACCAGCCACACUGGGACUGAGACACGGCCCAGACUCCUACGGGAGGCAGCAGUGGGGAAGUAUUGGGCAAUGGGCGGCAAGCCUGACCCAGCCAUGCCGCGUGAGUGAUGAAGGCCUUAGGGUUGUAAAGCUCUUUCAGUGGUGAAGAUGAUGACUGUAACCACAAAAGAAG
rnacentral:rRNA from 1 species